AAUUGGCUGCAUAUUGAAGAGGGAAAAACAAAGAACAGAGACCCGCAUCCUCUCGCCGCCGCCGCCUCUCACCGCUGAAGCCCGUCGCCGCCGCCUCUUGCCGCUGAAGCCUCUCGCUGCCGGCUUCAAAGAAGAAGAGACCCGCUGCUGAAGCCCGUCACCUCGCCUCUCGCCACCGCCGCCGCUCGCCGGAGUGUCCGCUGCUCUCGCCGCCGACCCGUUUCGCUGCCUCACCGCUCGAUCAUGGUGGCAAGCCCCAGCCGUGUUCGAGCUCGAGCUCGAGCCUGAGGUCAGAUUUGCCGAGCCGAGCUCGGCUCGAUUGUAUCUUCAAGAAUGGUGGCGGCAUGCCCUGACCUUGACGGACACGGCGACGGAGAGAAUAUGGCACCGGAAACGUCCGUUCCUCAAGCUCGGCGUUUAGGCCCGCGUCUGCAACGGCUAUCCUACACCCUCAACUAUGCAGCAACAUUGGUUUCAAAGGGUAUUCCCUCAAUCGAUCUCCAAGAUGGGUAUUGCUACAGCUUUGGUACCCAUCUUGGAGAAUCAUCAUCAACUGGUAUGAAGCAACUUUGGUUUAAGAGGGAAUUAUCUUGAUCGAUCGCCAUCUUAGAGAAUCAUCAUCAAUUAGUAUGGAGGUAUGAGUGUGGUAUUUCUCUUUGUGACCGUUGAUUGAUUAAUUCUAUCCACUUUGAUAUGAUUGGGUUCUCUCUCAUGUAUAUUAUAUCUAUUAUCUAUGCGAUUAGUUGAAUUGAGUAUAUAGUAAUACUAAUUAAGUGACGUGUGAGCAUGAGCUCAAAAUUCUUCUAAAAGAGCUAUUUUUGAUAUGAAAGAAUCAUAUUUUUAUAAAAACAAUCAUUAGAGGGUAUCAUAAUAUCGAUACUUUUGCAAUUACUAACAAUUGAAAUGGACGGAGUAUUUUCUUUAUGAACAUGUAAUAAUCGUUGAUGAAUAAUGUAAUUUUCUAUUCGUUGAUUCUAUCUAGAGAAUUCUUUAUUUUUUACACAUGUGCCUCCUAGAAUACGUAAUGAUUCUUUUUAAUCAUCAACUUGUAUGAAAGUAUGGCUAUAGUGGUGGCACCAAGAAUCUCGAAGAGGCCACCUUGACCUUCUCGAAGAAGAGGAUUAAUGAACAUAGUUUGUGUUUUUUGGCUUGAAGGGAGGUGCACUUGCCAUCCAUGUAUGUUCUUGCACGCUCUACCAUUAGAAUCAACGCUUGCAAUAGCUUUGACUUCCAAGUAGAAGCAGCUCCAAGGUUGGAAAUUAUCAAGAACCUAAAAGAGGAAAGAGUAGUGGUGACAAGAUUAAUUUAUCUGUUGAGUCUAAAUAUCAUCGCAUUAAAAGGGUUGAAGAGAAAAAUGAACUUUGCCAAGCUUGGUGUUUUGGAAAUUGUAUGUGUGGUGAUCAAAACUACUAGUAUUUGCACGCUUGAUUUUAUGGCGGUGGCUUUUCACUGCUUGCAAACUUAAUGGACACAACAUUGUUAUGGGCAUCGCACUUCCUUCGGGCUCUAACAAGCUGUACUUCAAAAAUAAGGACAAGAUAAUGCCAUUGUGGGAUUGCCACACAAGUAGGGCAAUGAGGGCAAUGAACUCUGUUCACAUAAGUUUGUUUUGAUAAAUUUUCAUAUGAUGCUUGUACAUGUAUUUUUUUGUACUUUAAAUGAUGCUAAUUGGAAACCACCUGUUUAUAUAGGGCAGUGUCUUGAUGCGAUGUACAUGUUGAGUGAGGUUUAUUGUUUGAUGAACGAAGGCCUGUGGUUAUUCAUGGGCCUAAAUAAUACAGUUAAGGCGUGGAAUACUCAAAAAUCAUCUGAAGUGUUGACCAAUCCUAGUAAUCAUCUAAAGCGUUGACCAUACUAGGAAUGAUCAGCGCUUCAGAUGAUUUUCGAGUGUUUCACGCCUUAAUUACAUUAUUCAGGCUUAUGAAUAGUUACAAGUCUUCGUUCUUCAAACAACAAACCUCACUUGAUAUGUAUAUUGCAUCAAGACACUAAACUACAUGCAGAGAUGUAAAUGGGCGGUUCCCAAUUAGCAUCAUUUAAAGUGAAAACAAGUAUAAAAAAGUACAUGCUCAAGCAUAAUUUGAAAAUUUAUCAAAAUAAGCUUGUGUAAACGGGGUUCAUUGCCUUGCUUGUGUGGCAGUCCCAAAGCGGCACUGUUUUGUCCCUGCUUCCGGAGUACAGCUUGUUAGAGCUUGAAGGAAGUGCGAUGCCCAUAACAACAUUGCUAUGUUCAUUAAGUUUUGCAAGUAAUGAGAAGCCACUGUCACAGCUCGAGGGCGCUACCAUAAUUAAGGGCGGAUUAUGGUUGUAAUUAGUAGUGGUAUUGGGGUAAUUAGAGCCCCAAGCACAUGGCUACUUGGGGCCUAAUUGCAAGAGUUUGUUAUUGAGAAUUCUUUAGAGUGUAACACUCUUCUAAAUAAGAUUAUUAGGUCGGGGAUCAUGUGAGCAUUAUUCUAGUGAUCUUUUUUCUCAUAUUCUUUUAUUGAUCUCUCUCUAAUUCUCUUGUUUAUUUUCUCUUGCCAAUUCUCAUAUUUUUUUUAAUUAUGAAAGAUUCCCUAUGAAAUCUCAAAUUUGACGAUCACGGCCAUAAAAUCAAGCGUCCAAGUACAGGUAGUCUUGAUCUUCAUGUAUGCAAUUUUCAAAAAGCCAAGCUUGGUAAAGUUCAUUUUUUUUUCCAACCCUUUUGAGGCGAUGACGUUUAAGCUUGACAAAUGAAUUAAUUUUGGCACCAUUACUUUUUUCGUCCUUCGAACUCUUGUUUUAAGUUCAUGAUGAUUUGCAAUCUUGGAAUUAUUUUUACUUGGAUGUCAAAAUUACUGUAAGCGCUGAUUCUAAUAGUAAGGCAUGCGAGAUCAUGCAUGAAUGGCAAAUGCACAUUUCCUCAAGCUAAAAGGCACAAAUUAUAUUCAUUGGUCCUCUUUUUCAGGAUGGCUAAGGUGGCCUCUUCAAAAUUAUUAGCGCCACCAUUGUAGUUAUACAUUUAUACAAAUUGAUGAUUAAAAAGAACCAUUAUGUAUUUUAGUAGGUACAUACGUAAAAAAACAAAGAAUUCGAUAACUAGGAUCAACAAAUAAAAAAUUACAUUAUUCAUUAAUGAUUAUUACAUGUUUAUAAAAAAAGUACUCUGUUCAUUUUAAUUGUUAGUAAUUGUAAAAAUAUCGAUAUCAUGAUACAUUUUGAUGAUUGUUUUUAUAAAAAUAUGAUGAUUCUUUCAUAUCAAAAGGAAUUCUUUCAGAAGAAUUUUGAGUUCUUGCUCACACGUCACUUAAUUAAUGUUGUUUUAUACUCGAUUUAACUAAUCACAUAGAUAAUACAUAUAAUAUACAUGUGAGAACUCUAGCAUACCAAAGUGGAUAGAAUUAAUCAUUCAAUAGUAACAAAUAGAAAUACCACACUGGUAGCCAUUCCUUUGAACCAGUUGAUGAUGAUUCUCCAAGAUGGCGAUUGAUCAAGGUAAUUCUCUUUGAAAAUAAAGUUUUUGCAAAAUAGAGGAAAAUUCAGUACGAGAUUUGAUUAAGAAAGAGACGACCAAAAAGAAAAAACAAUCAUGCCAGCAGGGAAAUAUCAACAAAAAGUGUGUUUUUACUCAUGUAAGCUUGCCUAUUUAUGGAGAACCAAACUUGAGAGGUAAGUUAAGUUUUCCAAUCAAAACGUGCACCCAAAUAAGAGAAGUUAAUGUGAUAUCUUUUGCCCCAAAAUCGAUAAAAAAUAAUAGAUUUUGGUUAAUAAACUUGAGAGAAAACUUAAUUUGUUUGUAUUCAAAUCUUGCAACCAGAUAAGAAAAGAUAAUGCACUAAUAUUUUUUCCUCUAGAAUAGAUCAAAUAUAAUAGCUUUUGAUAAGGUUUUUAGAGUCAUAACAAACUUGAGAGAAAGAGUUAAGUUGUUACAAAUAAAUUAUACAACUAGGUUAGAGAAGAUAAGAGUUUCGAUAUUAGCACCUACAAAUUAAGGAUUAUAUAUUUAACUCUUAUAACAGAUUAUAGAUAAUAGCCUUUUACAUGUCAAAUUUUCAUAUUUAUAAUGUUAAGAGAGCAGUAUUAUAUAUUUUGUCAUGCUUUCAAAUUAAGAUUACUUUAAAAGAUUUAUUUAGGAUUUACCCCUCUUUAACUUUUUUUUAUUUACCCAUUUAUACCUCCAAAGAUAAUUUCAUAUACAACUUUUCACGUGACAUUUAGAAUUGAUUCAUAAUUUUUCUAAAGGUGACCCUUUCCCCCAAAAUAUCUUAUAUUGAGAAAAAAUCAUGUGUAAUUUUGUAAAAGAAAGAGAUAAAUAUAUUUUUAAUUUUAUUUUUUUAAGUAUUAUAUUUUGAUUGAGCUUUUAUGUUAAUGUAUAUGGAAGCAUAUAAUUAUAAUUAUUUAUUAAAUUUUUGGUCCCCACAACAAUGUUCAUGACAUUUCGCCCUUGGUCAGAUAUAACUACCAGUAGUAAAGUUGAAAUUAUUUGAUUUUUUGAGUUGUUUAAUUUAACAUAGUGUUAUGAUUUUCGAUUGAAAACAAACCAUUAUCACAUUAUUAACUAUAAAAGUUAACAUAAAAUUUAAUGUGAAAAACUUAAAAUCGAAAAAAUAAAACACGAACAUAAAAAAUAAAAUAUCACUAUGAUGAUAUUGGUGCUACAAUAGUGAUAUUGGUACCAUAAAAAAAUAUUAGUAAGAUGAUAUUGCUACAAUACAAGUGACAUAAUUGCAAUAAUUUUAGAGUAUUGGGUAGCUAUUAAUAGAUUUACCACUCAUUUAUAGAUGUAUAUAAAAAUGAUUUAAAUAAAUCUAUAUUCUAAUAAGAAGAUAAGCCAAGAAGAGAAUAAAUCUUCAAAUGUAGAUGCACCCUAAUCGUAGGCAAAUUUGAUAUUUUAAUUAUAGUCAUUUAAAUUUCGAGUUACAAUUAUAACAAACAUAAUGAAUAAUUACAUAUUCUAUUACGUACAAUGUGAAAAAUCAAGAAUUCACUAACUAGGAUGUAUAAAUACAAAAUGAUAUUAUUAAUCAUUGAUACACAUUCAAAAUGAAUAUACCCAAUGGAAUUGUUAGUUAUUACAAAAAAUAUCAAUAUUAUUAUAUUCUUUAAUGAUUUUUUAAAUAAAAAUAUGAUUUUUCCAUAUCAAAAGGAAAUUUAUUAGAAGAAUUUUAACCUCAUGCUGAAAGUCCAACAAUGUUGUAUGCUCAAUUCAAUUAAUCAUAUAGAUAAUAACUAUAAUAUACAUGGAGAAAACAUUAGUAAACAAAAAUGGAGUGAAUUAAUUAAUCAACAAUUGCGAAGAAAAGGACUAGAGCUAUAGUAAUACCUUAUAUUCCUUUUGGCUACAAAAGGGGAUAAUCGGAUGGAGGGCUUGAGGCAACGAUGACCUAUACGGCGAGGGGUGGUUAGCAUUUGCAAGCACUCCGACGUUUAAGUAAGUAAAAGUUUAAGGUAAUAGAGAUUCUGUAAGGUUGAAAAUGAACAUAUCUUGGUUGAUGGUCGGUUAGCUUAUAUAGGAAAGAAGGUGAGAGUCUCUUGCAUGUUGUCGGUUGUUGCAGGUGAGUUGGGAGCCAGGGAUCUUGGGGCAGUUAAGGUUUGUUCCGAGUGCUAGGAUCUUGGCAUGGCGAUGAGAGGAUGGGGGAUGCUGCUGAACUAACUUGGAUGGGUUGGGUUAUGGGGACUGGCCCUAAUACUUAGCAAUGAGCUUGUUUGUUAGGCCUGGCCCAAUGGAAUUAGUACGAUCCACAGCCUCCCAGGUUAGAUGUUUGCAAGGGUGAGCAUUCAAGCUCAGGAUGUAGCUGAGGUGUUCUAAUCGUUCUGGCUUGCCUUGACCUCGAGCAAUGCUUGCUAGGGCUGAGCUUGACGUGGUCGAGCUUGCUAGGGGUUAUUUUCGAGGUACUGGUAAGUAGCGCAUGUGGUCUCGAAACUCAAGGCGUUUGCUUUGGAAGAUGGGACAUCGUGGGCGGACAUGGAGUUGUUCCACCGUAGUGUGACAAGUGGGGGGAUCUUCUUUAUGGGUGUUUGGCGACGCUUGAUCUCUAUUCGUUGGAUGCAUCAUGCGAUGGUGAUUUGUCAUUAGGAAUGGGCCUAGAUCGCAACCGUUGAGUGAUAUCUAUAUAAGGAUGCCUGUAGGCCGUUUUCUUGCUUCUUACUUUUGCGUUUGCAUCUGAUUUUCAAACCCUGGUUCUCUGAGAACUUUUGCGUUCUUCUUGCCUUCAAUUACUCGUGUGCUUUCGGCUUAGGCCAAGUUUUCCUUUUACCUUUCUUCUAUAGAUUUCGUUUGCUCCAUAGGUAAUUCCACAAUCCUGAUUCUUUUGACUCUUUUCCUUUUUGCUCUUUUUGUUAUUUUUUGCUGGUUAUCGAGUGUUCUGGCGAAUUUGGGGAAUGAAUCCAGGGAGGGGAGUGAUUCCGUGAUUGUCGUGGGAGAGCUCAUGACAAGGAAUCCGAUGCCUAUGCAUAGGGCUAGCCGUCGGGCUUUGCUAGUUGAGCUUAGAUGAGUGAUUCAACAUAUAGAUCGGGGUAUUCGAAACGUAGUUUGAAGUAGGCACGAGGUAUCGAGUUUUGACAAUUCUUUUUUCCCUAGGUCCCUCGGGGAUAGUAUAGGUGCUAUAUCCAUGGUUAGGUCACCUUCAAGUGCGUUGUCUGGUGCGAGUGGCAAUUAUAGCUAGGUGAGUGAGGACGUAGCCAAGGUCGCUUCGAUAUAUGACUCACCGAGCAAUGUCGUUGUGCUGAGGUCGUGAAUCUUUUUGUCAGUGGUUGGGGACAAGGGUUUGUUUGAGUGUCGACCUUGUGGGGAAAAGGAAUGAGUCUUCUCGGCUGCGGACUCGGGGUGGAUUUUUGUGCACGAGACGUUUUGCACGCGUCUUUGUCUUUGACUCCCGUUUACUGAAUUCUAGUGCUUGGUGUUGGCGAUGUUUAACAUUGCCCCGACCCAGCUACACCCAAACAGUUGGGCCUUCGUGAGGGCCUUUGAGGUUUUGUUGAGCUUUUUUGGUCGGGAAAUGAGCACGGGGGUUUUCUUUUCUUUCUUCCAAUUGAAUGGGGUUAGCAAAGGUAGCUGGGUCUCUUUGAGUGGGCUUCCAAGGAGGAAAUUGCUGAAGGCAUUUGACAACUCUUACAAGAACUUCAAGGCCGGCUACUUCUAGGUGGCUUCUCGGCAAGACAAGCUUGCCUUCUUCUUGGAUGAGAACGCGAUUGCCAAAUUCCUUUUUUGUGCUGGAGCAAGGAGCCAUUCUUUAUUACGGGGGUGGAAUACUAGAGCUUAAGCUCGGGACCAACUGAUGGUGGAUUUUCUCGAGGAUCGCCAAAUAUUAGAGAGCUUGGUCCUUGUCAAGUAUGGGAACAACCAAGAGGGUCUUGCUGUUUAUAUGGGUUGGUUUUUGUCUUGCCUUUCUUUCUUGGUUAUCGUUUGCUGUUACUUAUACUACUUGUCUUCUUUUUCAAGCAAGAUAGCCCUUAAGAUGACUGUCGAGGAGGUGAGGUAGCACGCUGUCUAGAGGAGAAGUGUUGAGUAGAGCUCUGGGUCGGCCUGCAAGGUCUCCUAGAAGGCUCAUGCCUUGGAGAGGGGGUGCUUGAUCGUCUAAGGUCUUUACGUUAACUAAAGGUCUCGCAUUGACUCCUUGGUCGGCUUUGCAACCUGCUUCUUUGAAAGCUUGGUCCCCUGAUAAGCCAAGGAGACUCCGUUAUAGUGGAAGCGACCGAGAGUUGCUUGGGAAGAGGAGUCUGGGCCAUCCAUGGUCUUGAGCUCAGUCAUUGACUAGUCGUCGGGCGUAGGGCCGCUCUUGUUGAGGCCUGUCUUAUGGGGCUAUGAUGCCGAGGUUGACUCAAGGAGCCUCUGGAGCAAGGAUUUUCGAUUCGGCGCUUUUGUCAAUGAGCGUCUCUCCUUCCUAUCUUGGACCUCGAGAUUGGGGGGCUGUGCCGUUAGGCCAAGAUGCAGUCAUUUUCGACUCACCAACGCCUGUUGGACACUGGAGCUAGAGUAUCGGGGGCUCAAUUGAAGAGGGUCAGCCAUGCCUGCGAGGAGGCGGUUGAGUGGUCGAGGGGGGAGAUGGUCGUCGAGAUGGAGGGGCUACAAAAAGUGGUAAACGAGGCCAGAGUUUCAGCCACGACUAUCGGCACUGUUUCUUUAAUUUUAUUGCAUGGACAUAGUUUAGUUUUAAAUGAUUGUUUAUGUGUACUUGGAGCAUUUAAGAACAUUAUUUUUAUUCAUGUCUUGGUGAAAAAAAAUUAUGAAUUUUUUUUAAGAAUAAUGUUUGUAAAAUUUAUUUUAAAAAUAAAUUGAUUGCUGUCGGUAAUUUUGUCAAUGGUCUUUACAUUUUGAAUGUGACUGUUGAUGAUAGUAAACAUAUGUGUGUAUCAAAUAAUAAUAAGAGACCACGAGAUAACUAAAAUUCUAAAAUUAUAUGGCAUCAUAGAUUGGGUCAUAUAGGGGAUGACAGAAUCACUAAGUUGCAGAAAGAUGAGCUUCUAGGUUCAUUAGGUUUUGACCCAUAUCUAACGUAUGAAUCUUGUAUCCUUGACAAAAUAAUCAAGUCACCAUUCGCUGGAUAAGGGGUUAGGGUUACAGAAUUAUUAGAACUCAUACAUUCUGAUGUAUGUUGGCCUAUUAAUGUAAUGACCUGAAGAUGUUAUCAAUACUUCAUAACUUCUACAGAUGAUAUAUUUAGAUAUGAAUAUGUUUAUCUCAUGAGACAUAAAUUUGAAUCUUUUGAAAUAUUCAAAAACUUUAAAGCUGAAGUAGAAAAUUAAACCGAUAAAAAGAUAAAGGUCUUACGAUCAGAUCGUGGAGGCGAAUAUCUUAAUAAUGAGUUUGGAGAUUUUCUUAGGGUCUCAGGUAUUAUUUCACAACGUAUCCCACCAGGAACACCUCAACUGAAUGGAGUUUUAGAACAGAGGAACAAAACUCUAUUAGAUAUGGUUUGAAGCAUGUUAAGUUAUUCUGACUUACCAAUGUUCCUGUGGGGUCGUGCCAUUCUUACUGCAAUAUAUAUCCUAAACAGAGUUCCUUCUAAGUCAGUUCUUACAACACCACAUGAGAUAUGGUUUGAAAGAAAAUCCAGUCUUAAAUAUGUUAAGAUUUGGGGAUGUACAAUUUUUGUGAAAAAGUUUAAACCAAAAAAACUUAAGACACGGUCUUUGAAGGGUAGUUUCGUAAGUUAUCCUAAGGAUACCUUAGGAUAGAAGUUCUAUCUUCCUGAAUUGUAACAAGUAGUUGUUAGUAGGAACACUAUUUUUUUUCUUUCAAGAAGAUGGAAAGGAAAAUAGAACUUGGCGAAGGGUUUGCCAAACUUGAAGCUAUGCGGCGAGACGUCCAAGCACCUAUUGAGGAGCUAGAGUCGAGUGUUGCACCUCCCAUUAGAAGAAUUGAGAGGAUAUCACGACAACCCAAGAGAUAUGGUUUCCUAAGUGAGUAAGAGUUGUUUACUAUAGGAGAUAGUGAUCAUUCAGAUGAUCACAUCACUUACCGGGAGGUGAUAUCAGAUAUCGACUCAAAUAGAUGGCUAGAGGCUAUGAAAUUUGAAAUGGAUUCGAUGUACACGAACUAGGUCUGGACUCUUGUCGAUUCACCAAAAUGUAUAAUACCUAUUGGAUGCAAAUGGGUUUUUGAGAAGAAGAUAAGUUUAGAUGGAAAUGUAGAGACCUACAAAGCAAGACUUGUGGUGAAAUAUUACUGUCAAAGGCAAGGUGUUGACUAUGAGAAAACCUUCUUCCCAAUCUUCUUGCUUAAAUCCAUCAGAAUUCUUCUAGCCAUUGCCACUCAUUAUGAUUAUGAGAUUUGACAAUUGGAUAUAAAGAUAGCCUUCCUGAAUGGCUAUAUAGGUCAGGACAUCUAUAUGGAACAAUUAGAAGGCUUCACAUCCAAGGAUCAAGCAUGGAAGGUAUACAAGUUUAAGAGAUCCAUUUAUGGUCUUGAGCAAGUAUCUAGAAGUUGGAACAUCUGUUUUGACAAUGAAGUGAAAUCGUUUGGUUUUAUUCAAAACAUCGAUGAACCAUGUGUAUAUAAAAAUGCUAGUGGGAGCGCGAUUGCGUUUUUGGUCUUAUAUGUUGAUGAAAUUCUACUCAUUGGGAAUGAUGUAGCUUUGUUGUCAAAGAUAAAAGUGUGGUUGUCAAGUACGUUCUCCGUGAAAGAUUUGGGAGAGGCAACCUAUAUUCUCGGUAUUCGGAUCUAUAGGGAUAGAAUCAAGAGAUUGAUAGGGCUCUCCCAAACCAAGUACAUAGAAAGAGUGUUGAAGAGAUUCAAAAUAAAGGAUUCUAAGAGAGACCUGCUGCCCUUUAGACAUGGAAUCCACCUUUCUUUGGAUAUGUGCCUUGAGACACAAGAAGAGAGAUCGCAUGUCUAAGAUCUCUUAUGUUUCAAUAAUAGAAAGCCUAAUGGAUGCGAUAUUAUGUACUAGGAUGUUCAUGCUGUAAGCAUUACAAAUGGAUAUUAGUCUAAUCCAGGUGAACAACAUUGUAUUGCUGUUAAGAACAUUCUUAAGUAUUUGAGAAUGACUAAGGAUUUAAUUCUUACUUAUGGGGGAACUUAAAGUGGAGGGUUACAUACACUACAAGAAAAUCAUAAUUUAAUGACGAAUUUUGUGAUAGAUUUAGUGACGCAAAUCUGUCACUAAAAUGUUUUAGCGACGGCUUGCCUGUCACAGAAUUUUAGUGAUGGAAUUUCUGUCUCUAAUUAGUGACGGGAUUGGCAAUCUCGUCUCGUCACAAAUCAAAGAUGGGGAUGGCCAGUCUCGUCGCUGAUUUGUGUUUAAAAUCUCCCACCCCUUUCCCCUUCUUCCCCUUCUCAAACGCAUUUUCUCCCUCUUCCCCUUAGUUCUCACGCCAUUUCUCCCCCCUCCCCAUGUUCUCACGCCAUUUCUUUAUUUCCCUUGGUUCUCUCGUUCUUUGCGGCUGUUGCCCCCCACCAGUGUUGUUACUGCCUCCGGUGCCAUUGCUGCCACUCUUUCAGUCACUAAGGUAAUUAUUUUGUGUUGUUUAGUUUUAGUUAUUUUGUGUUGUUUAGUUUUAGUUUAAAGCUUUUAAAGUUAGUUAUUUUGUGUUAGUUUAAUUUAAUGGUUAUUUUAUGUUAAUUAGUUUAGUUUAAGUUCAAUUGUUUAUAUUAUUUGUUACAGUAUGUUUAGAAAUUAAAAUGUGAACUUUAUUGAUUGUUAUUUAGUAAUCAUCAUAUAAAUGUACAUCAAAUUUUGUUAUGUAAUUGUACUAGCGUGUGCCCGUGCCUAAAUGCACGAUAUAAAUAAUAUUAAGAUUAAAAUAUAGUUAUAAUUUAUACGUAUUAUGUUAAAAUUUGUAAAUAACUUGUAAUAAUUUUACUUGUAUUAAACGUUCUACAAAACUCAAAUAAGAAACAAACAUAUCAGUUUUAUAAUAUUCACCAAUAUUGCAAAUUUAUAUAUAAGAGCAAGUAAAAAAAAAAAUUAUAAAUACUAAACAAAAAAUAGAAAUUAAAAUUAUUAUAUACUUGUUAACGUUUUAUAAUAUAAAGAAAAAAAAUUACUUAAUCUAUAUAAUAAAGCACAUCAGUAAGUGUUGUACCAGUAUUUUGCAUAUCGGUCUAUAUUCUAUAAUUAAAUACCAGCAUGUAUUCUAUAAUUUCAAAUAAAUUAAAUAUAAAAAAUAUUAAAUAAUAAAUAAUGCACAAUAGCCAAUAUUUUGCAAUCUAAAAGAAAUUAAAAUUAAAAUACACAUGAGUUAGUGCUACUGAUAUCAAAUUAUAACUAUAUAAGAAAAAUAAAUAUUAUAUUGUCAUAUACCAAAAGAGUAGGUUAAAACUUCACACACACGCACACACAUACACAUAUAUAUAUACACACACAAACACAUUGAAUAUAUAUAUACACCCGAACACAAACACACAUGGCUGCGGCCAUGGCAGCUGCCGCCGACCACCAUGGCUGCGACAAUCAACGGGGGGAACCUCAGUUUAGGGUUGGAGAACCUUGGGUUUCUGACUGUGAGUGGUGGAGAAUUUUUUGAUUUUUAUAUUAUCUUAAUUAAAAAAGUAGAAUUAAUAAAAUAAAAAUAGAAUUAAAAAAACAAUACAAAUAAAUGAAUUAUUUUUGAAUAUCUGUAAUAUGAUAGAUUUAAGUAUCAAAGAUUCAACACCUAAGGAUAAAAAUAUUAGGUUGCGUUCUCUUUACUGUUUUCAAGUCAUUUUUAAUUUUUAAUUUUCUAAAAUAAUAAAAAUGCGUUCUUUUUACUGUUUUUAAAAAUAUAUUUUUGAAAACAAAAAAAAAAUUAUAAAGAAAAUUCAAAACAACAAAAAGUUGUUUUGAGUGUUUUCAUUCAAAACAAACUCUAAAUUUAAAACAUAUAUAUUUAUUUAUUUAUUUAUUUAUAUUUUAUUAUUGUAAUAAAAAAAUAUAAAAAAAUCAUUAACUUUAAAAUGUAUAUAUAUUUUUAAUAAUAUAUUAUCAUUAAAUAUUUAUAAUUUACUGAAUAAUCAAAUUUAUUGAAAAAAAUAUCAUUAAAAAAAUAUUUUCAAAAUUUCAAAAAGAAUGCGUUUUCUAAUUUUCUGUUUUGAGAGAGUUUUUUAAAAUAACAAAGAGAACGUGUUUUUAAUUUUCUAAAAACAGACUAUCAAAACAUAAAAUUGAAAAUGAAUUCAAAAUUCAAAAUUGAAAAUUGAAAAUUAAAGAGAAUGCAGUCUUAAAUUUCAAAUUAAGGUUAUUACUUUUGUAACGCCCCGUUUUCUCGGGUGUGUUAUAAUCUGGUACAAUUUCGGGACAAUAAAUUUUUUUUUUUAUUUCAAACACUAAAACUAAAUCACAUCAUUUCUCUAAUCCGUCCCAGAAUUCCCAUACAUUAAUUUUGAAAGAGAAUCACUAUACACAUCAAAUGCGGAAACAAAGAUCGAAACCUGAUAUCUUAACAUUAAUCAUAAAUUUUUACAUCUUCAACAUUCCAUAAAACGUUCAGAAUCUAAAGUAACAGAACUUAAAUAUAGGGGUUACGUAACAUACAUUUAAUUUUUCAUGUACUCUGCUAAGUGCCAUUUUAUGCAUCAUUUAUCCUUGAAUCUGCUACAAUCUACAUCUGGAACGUUUGAAUAUUCCAAGGGUAAAACUCAAGUUAGAUGAUGAAUCAUCUAAGUAAAUGUACAUAAUGCUAUGUCAUGUGUAUAUGCAAUGUCUUUCCUUGUAGGUGUCAACUGCACCGCUCAUGCUGCCUACCAUUUUUGCGGCCAUCUCUUUCGAUGCCGAGGUGUAUGGGUGCACCCUUGGUAAAGCAGUGGUGCCAGUUCGUACUCCUUACGGCCUCAAUGCGAGUGAUCAAUGAUAUCAACGUGUAUUUAUGCAUUUCAUAGUCAUGUCAUGUAUUCAGUCUACGUGAUAGAUACAUAUCAGAGUAUGUCAAUAUGAUGAAAACAUUUUCUAGGAACAUAAACCACUUGCAAACUAAGCAUUUUUCAUAAAAUUAACUUUAAUUAGGGAAUACCACUUACCUUCUCAAGCUUAUUGGGCUGCCUUGAUAUUCGUGCUCUACCUCGAAAUUCGUGCAUUACCUCGAUUUGUGUGUUAACUUCAAAAUUUGCACAAGUCUCUUCAACUUAAGCCUCAAAGCACCAUAAUCAUUUAAAUAAACAUUAAAAUCUAUUUUUUUCAUAAUUUCUGACAUUUUCUUUUAAUUUUCUCUCUAUUUCUUCUUAUUUUUUCUCAAUAAAUCCAAACUAAAUAUUUUUAAAAUAUUUUCUCAAAUAUUUCACUACGACAAUUCAUAAAAUAAUAUUCUUGAAUUUCUGAAAUUUUUUAGAGAAUUUUACUUAUCUUGACUUAGCCUUCCCAGCUUUCUCGGUAUGUGUAUCAUAUUCCUGAAAAGUGUGCUUGGACAAUUUUUCUUGCCCUAAAUCUCCAGAAUAUUAUUGAAAUAUAAUUUUCUAUUUUUCAGGAUUUUUUUGAGAAUUUUUCUUUUUUUUUUCUUUUUGCCUUUCCUUUUAUUUCUUCUUCACUUCAUCUUCAAGCUCCAUUUCUUCUUCCUCUGCACCGCGCACUGCUCCAUGCGCAAACCAGCCACGUCGCCGCCUUGCUCAGCCACCUCCCGUCGCCUCUACGGCCGGCAUCGCCGUCGCCGGUCGCCACUGGCUCCACCGCACACUACAGCAGCCAUCAUGGCCGAUGCCACCGUGCUGCCCUGUUUGCCGAGCUUGCGGAAGCUCCCAUGGCUGUCGCACAGCAGCCUUGGUGUUGCUACCCUGGCCGAUUACGGCCAUUCCUGCCAUCACCGCGACUAAUUAUCGGCUUUAUGGCAGCCUCCUCGCACUGCCCCUGCUUGGCGUCGGCCUGUUAGAAGCUCACUGACGAGCUACCAUGGCCGACUUCAACAUUCUUUGCUGCCAUCAACGGCCGAUUCAAGCCGCUUCUCGGCCUUCGCUCGCCGCUUCGUUGUUGCCUCCCUGGUUGCAGCUCCGCGCUUGCUCUCUGCAACUCGGCCAUGGCUUGCCUUUACUUCUCAACUCUCAUCUCUAUUUAUGGGCGCUCGGUUGCUCCCUCACCUCACUGAGCCAUUCCUUCUUGCGUCCGACACACUCAACUGGCUGUCAUGGAUUUGCAGAGGCGUGGGAUUUGCGCAAAUCACAGAUGCAAAAAGCAUGGCUGAUUUACAGGGCAUGGGUUGAUUUGCAGGGUGCUUGCUACGCAUAUAUAUAUAAUUAUAUACUACUUUAAUAUAUAUAAAAAUUGCAUAAUUAAUUUAAAAAUUAUACAUUAAACCCCAAAUUUUAUCCCUAUUACACUAGUAUAAAUCCCUAAUUGCAACUACGACCUUAAACUUCAAAUUAAUUUGCAUUAUAAUAUCGAAAAUUCACAAUUAAUAACUUAAAUUUUACUUGAUAUAGAUGAUUUCGUCUUUGUGUCCUCUCGGGACCUUUAUUUCAUCUUGAAACCACUGAAGUGUUGCUUAUUACGCAAAACCAGAGCUUCCCUAAGGUUCUGUUGAUUUUUCGGGAGUCUUCUACAAUGAUUCGAUUUUACAGCCUAAAUAACAGCUGUAUUUUAGCUGUAUCGAAAAUUGUUUCCGAUUCGAUUUCUUUCGAUACUAUAAAUCUUAUCUCGGAACGCUCAUCGAGACCAUAUCAGUUUUCUUAGAUAAUUUCACUUCGAGACACUCCUUGCAGUCAAUUUGAUACUUAUAACUGCUAUUAAGUCAAUUUUUCAGUAUUCUAAACUUAUCGAAAUUACGUGGCAGUUUUAUACGAUCAUAUGGGGUAUUACAACUUUGAUAUCAUUAUUAUUUGAAUAAAGUUUUAUACUAAAAACAGAAUUUGAUCAUCCAUUAUUUAGAAUUGAAUUAAAACUUACACUGUUGGUAUUUUUUAAAAAAGAAGUUUCUUUUAAAAAACAUCUAUCCCAUUUACCUUUUCCUUACCCCCUAGACAAGGCAACACCAAUUUCAAUUGAGUUCCUCACCUUUAGAAAUCCAAGUAUUGAUUUAGCACCAAGGGAACCACAAAUGCAAUAAAAGAACAUGUAAAGUCCCAUUGAAGCAAAAUCCAAUAAAAAAACAUAAGAAUUUCACAAAAACCAAGAAAGAAAAAAUCCCCCAAUUUCCCAAUUUCACAUCCAUCGCCAUGAAACAACCGAAAUAAACAACAACACAAUGUGGGCAGACAAGUUCCAAGAAAAUCCCAAUUUUACCACAAACAACAAAUCGAAAGAUUAGAACUUUCUACACAUGCCACAUCCAUACCCUAAAACCUUGCUUAUGUCGGUACGGUGUAAAUAAUACUAAGAUUAAAAUGUAAUUAUAAUUUAUACUUAUUAUGUUAAAAUUUGUGAAGAACUUGUAACAAUUUUACUUGUAUAAACUUCAUGUACAAUGGGUUAGUAUGGUUGCAUAAUAGAGUUGAUAUUGGGUUCUCGACCAUUGGGAGUCCUUGUGUUUCCGAACCUUGGGUUCUCUGGUCAUGCGUGGUUGGGAACUCUUUGAUUUUUAUAUUAAAAUAAAAAUAGAUUUUAUUGUAAUAAAAUAAAAAAUAAAUAAAUGAAUUCUUUUUGAAUAUUUGCAUCUUUAAGUAUCAAAGAUUCACUAGCAUUUGAUAAAAAUAUUAAAAUUUUUGAAUAAAGUUUUACACUAAAAACAACAUUUGAUCAUCCAUGAUUUAAAAAUGAAAUUUUUAUUUCUUUUGGAUUUAAAAAAAAAAAAUUCUAAAUGUCAAAUUCUUAAAUUAUAAAUAUUUAAAAAAAUUAAAACUUACACUGUUGUUGUUUUUUAAGUAUUGAUUUUAGAAUACUUAAAAAUUAAGUAUUAUUUUUUUAAAUUUUUUUUUUAAAUUUUGGAGAGUCGGAUCGUCGUUGGUCAGGGGCUUCAUGGACCCCUGACAGCGACCGAUCAGGGACUCAUGGAGCCCUUGAACAUCGUGGGUUGGGGGUUCGUCGAACCCCGAACCCCUCAUUGGGCUUGUUUGUUGCAGCUUAAAAGCUGUAACUUUUAGUUUCUAGCUUUAAAAAAGUUGGGAUGUAGUGUUUGUUUUAGCUUAUAGAAUUCUAACUUAUAGCUUUUACUAGCUUUUAGAAUGGGUAGAAGCUGGCUUUUUCAAAGUUGGGGUACCCUAUCUUUUACAACUUUUGCUUAAAUAAUUACAUUUUUAUGACAAUUUUGUCCUUAUUUUUAACAAAGAAUUACCCUCUUGUCUACGCAAUCAUGGAUUUUUCUUCUCCACCGCCAUCUCCAUUUUCAGAUCUCUUCCUCUCUCUCGUCUUCUUCCUCUCUCUCUAUACUUUAAUUAAUUUUUUUAUAACACUUGAAACUUAUACAUAUACACUAAUUAAUUUUUAAAUUAUCAUUCUAUAACUAUUAAGAGUAUUAUGGACAAUUAUACAAAAAUAAGUUAUUUUACAGCUUAUAGUAUCAAACACUACAACUUCUAAAAAGGUGCAGCAAACAGAUUCACAACUUAUUCUAAGUUUUAGAAGCUAUAAUCUAAGAAGCUUGAAGUUAUAAUUUCUUUAAUUAAGCUGCAACAAACGGGGCCAUUAUCGUCGAUCGGGGGCGAUGGGUCGACCGCUACUGGCGGCCAACCAAUCGCGUGAGUGUAUUUAUAUAUAUAUAUGUGCCUGUGUGUAUUUGGGGGUGAUGGUGACCGUUGACCGCAUUGAAAGCAAGAGUGUGUAUAUAUAUGUGAGUGUAUAUAUUUAUAUAUAUGUGCCUGUGUGUAUAAAGAGGAAGAAAGAGAUAGAGAGGGAUAGAGAGAUGAGAGACAAAAGCAAGGAUAAGGAGAGAGACAUAGAGAGGGAAGGUAGGGAGACAGAGGGUAGGCAAAUCAUUUGUGAUGCUUGGGCGGGAACAUCCAUUAAUGUAAGUCAUUGAAAUGUGUCUUUGAUACAUUUUAUACAUUUUCAAAAACUCUUUUUCCUCUUAUACAUUUUCAAGUAGUUCUGUCUCUUGCAUCAAGGGAAAAGAUAUAAAUUGUCCAAAUUGUAGUACUGACUAAAAAAGAAAAGAAGAGUGGCAAUAUAAUAAAUGGUAUCGUGGAUGACUGUGUUGCUGUCAAUCUUAUCCAAAACUGACAUCCAAUUGGUAACAUUGCAUGAAAAAAUUAUUGUCUUAAUAACUCAGUCAAAAUAAGUGUAAUGUUCUUAAUCGUAAUGUUCUUAAUAACUCAAUCAAAAUAAAAUAAAAAAUAUAAAAAAAUAAAAAUAUUAAUAAGUGUUUAAGUAUUAAAAGAAAUAAAAAUUUAAAUAAGUAUUUAAGAAAAAUUCAAUUCAAAUAUGUUGAACUAAGUAGUACAGAAAAUAUUUUGAAUAUUUAGUUCAGACAAGCCUAUUUAUAAAAUUUAAUUUGAUUUAUAAAUAUAUAGUAUUUUAAAAAGAUCAAAAUUUAUCUCAAUGUUGUAUUUAUCUAUUGAUAAAUAUGCACAUUAAAUAAAUAAAAUUUAAGAGAAUAAUAAAUUAUCUAUUAUUAUAUUUAUUUAUUGCUCAUAUUUAUCAGUUGCUUAUGAUAGUCUAGAGUCAUGAAAUAUAAUUUGGUUAGUUUUUAUGUUAUAUAGUCAUUCAGUUAUAUACUUGUGGGGAAUUAGCACAUGUUCAUUAUACAAUUUUGAAUUGAAAAUAGAAGUCUCGUUGCAUUGUUGGUGGAUUGAUAAUAGGUGUAUGUGAAGAAGGGGUGAGAUCAUUCCUGAAUUUUAUGUUGGAAAUUUUGUAACUAAGUAUUUUGUGGAAAUAUGAAAUUUCAUGGAAAAUUGAUAUCAAAAUACUCUUAAUAAGUGACCGAAUCAACUAUAGGGAGUACCCUAGAGCUUAGAUAUCUAAGGAAAAUGUUAUGUGGUCGAUGAGCUUCUUGAAACAAGAUUUAUGCCAUUGAAAGAAAUCGGAACAGAGACAGUUCUCGAUACAACUAAGUUAUAGCCUAAAAGAUCGAAUAACGGUAAAGGACUUCUAGGGAGUCAACGAAACCUUGAGAAUGUCUAUAUUUUGCAUAAGGAAUAACCCUUAAGUGGUUUUGGGAUGAAACAAAAAGGGUUUGCGAUCAAAAUAUACAUUCAGGCUUAAGUGUAAUUUCUUAAUCUUGCAUCGAGAAAGGUUGAAAAGAUGAUUUUUCUGAAUCUUCGAGGGUGAAAUGAAAAGUUUAGAACUCAUGGAUUUUAAUGGAAUGGUUGGAAAGCUCAGGGGCUUCAAAUAGGGGCCAACAUGAAAUUUGAAAAAUAACGGGGGGUCAAAGUGAAAUUUCUCAAAAGACCAGCCACUACCACCGCCGGCCAGCCACUUGCCAUUGCCAGGAAGGACGUUCUAGGGUCCAAAGGGGGCCCCAGGGCAUGGUGGAUUGAUUGGAGACGGGUAUCGGCCAUGAUUUGACGGGGUAUGACGAGGCCAUUCAAAAGGAGAUAAAGCUGUCCGAUAUGGGGAAGAUCGAAUCUUGGACAACGGAAGAACACAGAGACAUGGAGAUCAAUGCUAAAGCCAUGAACACGCUAAUUUGUGCGUUGUGCCAUGAAGAAUUCAACUGCAUCUCCAUAUGUAAGAAAAACCAUGGAGAUAUAGGACAAGCUUAAGGUAACUCAUGAAGGUACAAAUCAAGUUAAAGAGACCAAAAUUAAUUUACUGGUGCAUGAUUAUGAAUUGUUUUCAAUGAAAGAAAAUGAGACAAUUAAAGACGUGUAUACUAGGUUUAAUGACAUUGUUUCUACUCUAGAGUCUCUAGGAAAAACAUAUUCAAAUGGAGAAAGAGUUAGAAAAAUUUUAAGAAGUCUACCUAGGUCAUGGGAUCCCAAAGUAACCACUAUAACUAAAGCUAAAGGCCUAGAUAACAUUCCUUUUGAAAACUUAUUAGGUUCUCUAAUGACUCACGAAAUUAUGUUAAAAAGAAAUGAUGUAGAUGAAUCUAAGAAAAACAAAAAUGUUUCCUUUAAGGUUGAGUAUGAAGACAAGGAAUCACAAGAUAGUGAUGAGGAUGGCUUUGCUAGAAAAUUUAGCAAAUUUAUGAAGAAAGGAAAUUUAAUCAAAGAAGAAAUUUUAGAAAAGAUAAAGAUAAAAAAGAAACAAGUACUUCUAACAAAAUUCGAUAUUUUGAGUGUAAGAAAUUAGGUCAUAUAAAGACCGAGUGUCCUUUGCUCAAAAGAAGGAGAAGAAAGACAAGAAGAAGAAGAAAGUUCUAAUGGCUUGGAGUGAAGAUGACCUUUCAUCAAGUAACGAAUCUGGAAGUGAUGAAGUUGCAAAUCUAUGCCUCAUGACCAAAAUUGAAGAUAAGGUUGCAUUGGCUUCACUUGACUCAAGGAGCAAAUGGUUCCUUGAUAGUUGGUGCUCAAGGCACAUGACGUGAGAUCAAGGGCUUCUCAAUAAUGUCAUCCUCAAAGAAGGAGGCAUGCAUGAACCAUUAAAUUAAAAGCCCAAAUCAUUAAAGUUCAAGGAAGGCCCACAUUUAAUUGCAAGUUGGAAUGAAGAAAUGGCCUAGCGCAUGCCCAUUAAAUUGAAGGCCCAAGGCCCAACGCAUGUUUAAGGCCCAACUUGAGCAACCCAUGGAAGACAUCAUUUGGAGAAGGCCCAAGUAUUUUUAAUCCUAAUGAAGACCAAAACCCAAUUGUAAAAAUCUAUUUUUAUUUUUUUUAAUAUUUGUUUUAUAAGUACUUUAUUAGGUGUGUCUUUAGCUAAAAUUCAUUUAACUUUAGGUGUGUAUUUUAGCUAAAAUCUAUUUAACUUUAAGUGUCUGAGUG